rnacentral:rRNA from 1 species
ACGAACGCUGGCGGCGUGCUUAACACAUGCAAGUCGAACGGAAAGGCCCUGCUUUUGUGGGGUGCUCGAGUGGCGAACGGGUGAGUAACACGUGAGUAACCUGCCCUUGACUUUGGGAUAACUUCAGGAAACUGGGGCUAAUACCGGAUAGGAGCUCCUGCUGCAUGGUGGGGGUUGGAAAGUUUCGGCGGUUGGGGAUGGACUCGCGGCUUAUCAGCUUGUUGGUGGGGUAGUGGCUUACCAAGGCUUUGACGGGUAGCCGGCCUGAGAGGGUGACCGGCCACAUUGGGACUGAGAUACGGCCCAGACUCCUACGGGAGGCAGCAGUGGGGAAUAUUGCACAAUGGGCGGAAGCCUGAUGCAGCAACGCCGCGUGCGGGAUGACGGCCUUCGGGUUGUAAACCGCUUUCGCCUGUGACGAAGCGUGAGUGACGGUAAUGGGUAAAGAAGCACCGGCUAACUACGUGCCAGCAGCCGCGGUGAUACGUAGGGUGCGAGCGUUGUCCGGAUUUAUUGGGCGUAAAGGGCUCGUAGGUGGUUGAUCGCGUCGGAAGUGUAAUCUUGGGGCUUAACCCUGAGCGUGCUUUCGAUACGGGUUGACUUGAGGAAGGUAGGGGAGAAUGGAAUUCCUGGUGGAGCGGUGGAAUGCGCAGAUAUCAGGAGGAACACCAGUGGCGAAGGCGGUUCUCUGGGCCUUUCCUGACGCUGAGGAGCGAAAGCGUGGGGAGCGAACAGGCUUAGAUACCCUGGUAGUCCACGCUGUAAACGGUGGGUACUAGGUGUGGGGUCCAUUCCACGGGUUCCGUGCCGUAGCUAACGCUUUAAGUACCCCGCCUGGGGAGUACGGCCGCAAGGCUAAAACUCAAAGGAAUUGACGGGGCCCCGCACAAGCGGCGGAGCAUGCGGAUUAAUUCGAUGCAACGCGUAGAACCUUACCUGGGUUUGACAUGGAUCGGGAGUGCUCAGAGAUGGGUGUGCCUCUUUUGGGGUCGGUUCACAGGUGGUGCAUGGCUGUCGUCAGCUCGUGUCGUGAGAUGUUGGGUUAAGUCCCGCAACGAGCGCAACCCUUGUUCACUGUUGCCAGCACGUUAUGGUGGGGACUCAGUGGAGACCGCCGGGGUCAACUCGGAGGAAGGUGGGGAUGACGUCAAGUCAUCACGCCCCUUAUGUCCAGGGCUUCACGCAUGCUACAAUGGCUGGUACAGAGAGUGGCGAGCCUGUGAGGGUGAGCGAAUCUCGGAAAGCCGGUCUCAGUUCGGAUUGGGGUCUGCAACUCGACCUCAUGAAGUCGGAGUCGCUAGUAAUCGCAGAUCAGCAACGCUGCGGUGAAUACGUUCCCGGGGCUUGUACACACCGCCCGUCAAGUCAUGGAAGUUGGUAACACCCGAAGCCGGUGGCCUAACCGUUGUGGGGGAGCCGUCGAAGGUGGGACUGGUGAUUAGGACUAA